GUGGAGGUAGUGUAGUGGUGAAAGAGCUGUGCUAGCAUGCAGUAGCCUGAAAAGUUGCGGGUUCAAUACCCGGCUUCCACC
rnacentral:tRNA from 1 species